rnacentral:rRNA from 1 species
AACGAACGCUGGCGGCAUGCCUAACACAUGCAAGUCGAACGAGACCUUCGGGUCUAGUGGCGCACGGGUGCAUAACGCGUGGGAAUCUGCCUAAAGGUUCGGAUUAACAGUUAGAAAUGACUGCUAAUACCGGGUGAUGUCUUCGGACCAAAGAUUUAUCGCCUUUAGAUGAGCCCGCGUAGGAUUAGCUUGUUGGUGGGGUAAAGGCCUACCAAGGCGACGAUCCUUAGCUGGUCUGAGAGGAUGAUCAGCCACACUGGGACUGAGACACGGCCCAGACUCCUACGGGAGGCAGCAGUGGGGAAUAUUGGACAAUGGGCGAAAGCCUGAUCCAGCAAUGCCGCGUGAGUGAUGAAGGCCUUAGGGUUGUAAAGCUCUUUUACCCGGGAUGAUAAUGACAGUACCGGGAGAAUAAGCCCCGGCUAACUCCGUGCCAGCCGCCGCAGUAA